UAGGUACAAGGAUAGUUACUUGGGAAUCUCCCAAGAGGAAAGUCCGAGCUGCUGUAAGACAGUGUUCCAUUUAACUAAUGGCCGUAGUAAUACGAGGGAAAGUGCAACAGAGAUUAGACUUCUUAUGUUUUUAACGUAAGUAAAGGUGAAAAGGUGUGUGUAAGAGACCACCAGUCUCUAUAGUGAUAUAGAGAGCUUGUAAACCCAACAUGGCAGCAAGAAACAGAUGGUUAGCGUCUUACAAUGCUAUUGUUUCGCUAGAGGCACAACGUAAGGUGUGCAGUAGAUUAAUAACUAUUACUACAAAACUCGGCUUAUUUGUACCUCACAU
rnacentral:RNase_P_RNA from 1 species